CCAAAUGGGAUAUCUUUAGUAAUUGCGAAUGAACAAGGAUAUGCUUAGCUUGACAAAUGGAGCUAUUGGCUUUGAAUUGUAUUGUGGAAAUGUAUUACCAACAGAGGUGCAGGUGCCAGCCUAUUGAAAUAAAGCGUCAAUGAGGGUGAGAAUCCUGUUUGUCAUGUGCAGCCCUUUGUGCACGGUGUAUAUUUGCUGAGUCACACUCCUUGGCAUUGGAAUGCAAAGUGGGUGGUAAGUUUCAUGUAAAGGUAAACAUGCAAUUGAGACUGAUAGCACACAAGUACCAUGAGGGAAAUAUGAAAAGGACUUUGAAAAGAGAAUUAAAUGAGUUUGUAUUUGCUGAACACAAAGUAAACAGACUUGAUUUGCUUGGUGGGAG
rnacentral:rRNA from 1 species